AUUCUGCCCAUGCGGGGAAGGAUGAGAAGCUUCGACCAAGGUUCGACUCGAGCGCCAGCGAGAGAGCGUGGCCGCAGGCAACGACC
rnacentral:sRNA from 1 species